rnacentral:tRNA from 1 species
UAAAGGUUAGUGAACUUUAUAAACACGUAUAAAUUUGAAUUAUGAGAAGGAAUAACCACUUCCACCUUUAU